CACGGCACCACCAGGCUUCUGUAACUUAUAAAAUGGCGGCGUCCACAUGUAUACGUCCUUCCCGGGAUUAGCCAGGCAGCUAGAGGAUGACUUAAUAAGGAGAGUGGAGAAACUGGCCAAUUAAUGAACAUGCCCUGAUCAUUAAUCCACCACUGAAGGAAGUCAGAGCAGAAACUCAAGCAGGGACUUGAAGAAGAAACCAUGGAGGAAUACGGCUUGCUGGCUCACCUUUCAAGAUGUUCAACUUGGCUGCUCCAGCUACCAUGCCUGCUGCCUGCCACCUCCACUCUGUCAUGGAACUGUCCCUUUCUACUCCACGUGCUAUCCAGAUUUACCUAAACCACCAUGCAACACACAAGCACUAUCCCUCUGAUGUGUGAAGUCAGAUACCAGCCUCUGAUUCAGAGACUGCCACCCAAUAAUGAGUUGUAAUUCAGCAGGAUGUGGCCAGAAUGAUCUCAGUGCCACCUACGCCCCUAACACCACCUUUUCUAUAAAAUAUGUCCCUCUGUUCCUUUUACCUAAACGAAGAAGCUGAAAGCAAAAGAGGCUGAAAACCUUCUGUCCCAUUAGUGAGGAGUGUGUCCUUUUCAGAGAGCAAAGCCCUAAACAGAGAGAGCUGUGGGCAAGGACUCACUCAGCAGCUUCCCAGGCACCCAGGGCCUAGAAGCCACUGAGCAGUGACUCACCACAGAAGUCACUAUGCUCAUUGUCCUGCAGAAUUUUCCAGCUGUCCCUUUAUCUCAAAAUGUAUUUGGGAUUUUUUUUUAAGCACCCGCACCAGCCCAAACUACAAAGUUUAAAGCGCCCUUUAACCCAAUUUGGUAAUGUCAAUCAACUUGGGGCCGUCUUGCAGUACACAUCCCCCUCACUACAGGACCAUUAACACCCUUUGCUUUCUGUGGCUGGCCUAAAGCAUUACCUUAGACUAUGCAUACUGUGCCAUUGGGAAGGACAUUCUGACUUGGCGCCUCCUUUGACAUCCCUGCCCCCUCAAUGAUGGGGUAGCUGAGUAAAUUUGUUGAAAUAAAACAAGAUAGCUUGCUGCA
rnacentral:lncRNA from 1 species